rnacentral:lncRNA from 1 species
AACAUGAAACCUUCUCUGUUUCCGGGGUCGCCGAAGGAAAAUCGUACGUCAUCAUUUAGCUCUAUGGACUCGGAGACAUCGCUGAUGAAGGAAAAAUUUUGUCCUAGCUAAGAACAUGUGAGAAUAUUUGAACAUAUAUGCAAACAAUUAACACAUUAAAGUAGGCAUGCAUUCAAAAACAAUUCUGAAACCCAUGACUUUCAAAGCCUAGUGAAUGGUGAACCACAAGACUCUUUAACAACAUUAAAGAUAAAGAAGGUUUUAGAGAUUCAUUACCCUUGAAGAUCAUCCUUGUUUACACAAGGGAUUCACCCAAGUGGAGGGCCUUCAAGUCACCACCUAGCUCCUUGGAUCUUCCUUGUGAUUUUCUUCCUUUUGAUGCUCCUUUGCUCCUUGAGGAUAUGAGGAAAGGAUCUCCAAAACACCAAAGAUUUGGUGUCUCUAAGUCUCCACACCAAGGAUGAGGUGUGAAGAUAAAAUGGAUGACUUAGAGAAGAAAAGAUUGCUAACUAUAUCUUCCCUAUGUGGCGGGCCUCCUUGUAGAGAAAAAGAGAGAAAAUGUUUCUCUUCUUUGUCUCAAGAAAACCCUAAUGAGAAAAAACUAUAACGAUGCUUUUAUAUCUCUUUUCUUAGGUGAGUGGCAAACUUGCAAUUAAGCAAAACUUCACACUCCCCUCACUAUGGCCGGCCUCUUUUAAGUGAUUGGGCUUAUUGCCCAUUUUGUUUGAGUUGUCAUACAACUUAAACAUAAUGGGCCUUGUGGACCAAAACACUUUUGGGCCCCUAAACCCAAAACCAACUUAAAAGCCCAAUACGAACCUUUCGUAAAAUUAAUUAACUAAUUAAUAAAUCUUGACCAUUCUCAAUUAAACCAUUUAAUCGCGUAUCCAUCUCAUUUAUAUUUCUUCACUUUCACCCUUACUCGGUGUACGAUCCAUUAGGUUCCAAUUAGUUAGGCAGUGGGCGAUUGUUACUCUUAACGAUCGAUUGCGAAUUGAAACUAUAUUUCAAUUCUCCCGUUGAUUAUGAUUAGUGUUUGCUAAUCUUCAGGGCUUCCACAAGCCAUGAGUGACACCUAGCAGAAUGUCAUGGUUACCCAAGCUAAAUAGAAUUGGUUGGAGAACCUAUCCAAUUACAAUUACAAUGCAAUUCGGUCCUUCUCUAAUACAAUACUCUUAAUCACAUUGUUUGAGUGAUAGUUUGUAUCAUGUCUACUAUCCAAUGUGAUACUUCUCUAUAUGAUUCCAUUGAAUAUGAUUUGGAACAUACUUCCUAAGUCAUAUUCGUAUGCUUUGGCCAACGACUCCGGAAUCAUAUCUUAAAGUAUUCUCCUUCCACCAUGGAAGGUUAGAGAUCCCUUGUUGUGCAUUCAUAUGCCUACAUAACUAGAUAGCUUGACCGCAACAAUGUCGUGGACACUCUCGAUGGAAUGCCUUUGACAUGAUCAAAGAUCAAGGACCUAACCAUUAGACAUCUAUGAUGCCUCAGGUCAAAGCACUACUUUGCAUAUUGCAACUAACGAGUUCUUACAUGACAUGUAUGUUCGAACUCUCUUUUGAUCGUUGUUCAGUGUACUCGAUUACCCUUUCAAGUACCUAUGUGUUUGUCUUAGUGUCCAACACUAAAUGACUUGAGACUAGUCAUACUCACGCUUGAGUUAACAAAACACAUACUAACCUUAACGGAUUGUCAAUGCCCAAUUGGCAAUCCUAUGGCUAGGAACGUUUUAGGAAUGAACAUAAGAGAAAGGUCUCUUUAAUCUAACUUACUUAAAUCACUUCUCUCUUAGAUCAAAUACAUUCCUUGGAUUCCCUUAUUGCUUAAACACAUGAUACAAUAAAUAGUGAUUAACAAUAAGCUUUGCCCUUCAUUAAACAUAUAAUAGUUUAAUACAAUAAGUAUUCCAAAAGCUAUUACAUCAAAUGAGUGGCUUUGUGGGCAUACUUCCAACAAUCUCCCACUUGCACUCAAAGCCACCUUCCCAUGUAUCUAAUACCCAUCUUUUCCAUAUGGUGGUCAAGUUGGAUUUGAGAUAUUGGCUUUGUCAGUGGAUCUGCUACGUUAUCGGCUGAGGCAACCUUGAGGAUGUUGACUUUCCCCUCGGAAGCAUAUCUUCUAAUAAUAUUAAAGCGCCUGUCAAAAUGAUUGUUCUUUUGAUGAGCCAUGGGUUCCUUGGCUUGAGCUAUCGCCCCACUAUUAUCACAGUACAAAGUUACUAGUGAUGUAAUGGUUGGAACCACUCCAAGUUUAGUAAUGAACUUAUUCAUCCAGAACGCUUCUUUGCCGGCUUCAGCUGCAUCAACAUAUUCAGCCUCUGUCAUGGAAUCAGCAAUUACAUCUUGUUUCUUGCUUUUCCAGCUGACAGCCCCACCAUUUAGAGUGAAUACAUAUCCGGAGUUGGAACUUCUAUCAUCGACGUCAGAUUGGAAAUCUACGUCUGUAUAUAUGCUUCCACUCGCAACUCUGUUGCUCCUCCAUAAACGAGGAACAUGUCCUUAAUUCUUCUUAAGUACUUAAGGACCGUCUUGACAGCUGCCUAGUGUUCUGAUCCUGGGUUAGAUUGAUAUCGACUAGUAAUGCUCACAGCAUAUGCGAUAUCAGGCUUUGUGCAUAUCAUGGCAUACAUGAGACUUCCUAUGGCGGAAGCAGAAGGAAUAGCACUCAUUUGCCGUAUCUCUUCAGGAGUUUUAGGUCCCAUGGACUUAGAGAAAAGUGAAUUCCAUGUCUUACAGGUAGAAGACCUUUCUUAGAUUGUUCCAUCUGGAACCUAUUUAGCACCUUAUCUAUGUACAUAGAUUGGGAUAAUCCAAUUAAUUUUUUAGAUCUAUCACGAUAGAGCUUUAUCCCAAGUACAUAAGAUGCAUCUCCCAAAUCUUUCAUGUAGAAGGUUUUGGACAACCACACUUUUACAGAAGAAAGUACUGCAGUGUCAUUCCCGAAGUAAUAUGUCAUCUACAUAAAACACUAAGAAUACAACUGCAUCCCCAACGACUUUUUGAUAAACACAAUUGUCGUCUUCAUUUUGAGUAAAACCAAAUGUUUUGAUUUCAGUAUCGAAACGAAUGUUCCAGCUCCUAGAGGCUUGCUUAAGUCCAUAAAUGGACCUCUGAAGCUUGCAUACCUUAGCCUUUUCAUACUUGGACACGAAACCUUCGGGUUGAGUCAUAUAGAGCUCUUCUUCUGGGUAGCCGUUCAGAAAGGCCGUUUUCACGUCCAUUUGCCAUAUCUCAUAAUCAUGGUACGCAACUAUAGCAAGCAAAAUACGAAUGGACUUAAUCAUGGCUACAUGAGAAAAGGUUUCUUUAUAGUUAAUCGUUUCUCGUUGCCUGUAACCCUUAGCUACUAGUCUAACUUUAUAAGUCUCCACGUUCCCAUCAGUGCCUAUUUUCCCCUUGAAACCCAUUUGUUUCCAACAGGUACUAUACCUUCUGGAGGGUCUACAAGAGUCCAGACCUGAUUUUGAUACAUGGAAUCCAUUUCAGAUUUCAUGGCCUCUUGCCAUCUCUUUGAGUCAAUGUCAGACAUUGCUUCAGUGUAGUCCCUAGGGUCCUCCUUUGUGUCAUUGUCACCUAGAAGGUGCAAUUCCCCAAAGUCAUUAUCUAAGCCAUACCUCUUAGGUGGCUUGCUAACCCUUUCAGAUCUACGUGGAGCUAGGGAUUCAGGAACAAGGUUGUCAACUUGUCGAGUGCUUGUUUGUGGUUCAUCAUUAAUCUCAUUAAUUUCCAUCGUUCUACUUAUAGUUCCUUUGAGAACAAAUUCGUCCUCUGGAAACUUGGCAGUUCUGGCGACAAAAACUUUUUGGUCGUCAAGAUGGUAGAACUCAUAUCCCAUAGUUUCUCUAGGAUAUCCCACAAAAUAGCACCUAAUUGAUCUCGCUUCAAGCUUAGUAGCUUCAAGCUUCUUGACAUAUGCUUCACAAGCCCAAUCUUAAUGUGAUUAAGACUUGGCUUUCUUCCAUGCCAUAUCUCAUAGGGCGUCUGUGAAACUAAGUUGGAAGGUACUCUAUUAAGCAAGUAAGCUGUUGUAUAUAGAGCGUAUCCCCAAAAUGUUACUGGUAGAUCUGCGAAACUCAUCAUAGAACGAACCAUGUUCAUCAAGGUUCGAUUUCUCCUUUCAGAAACUCCAUUAAGUUGUGGAGUUCCCGGUGGAGUCCACUGUGAUAUUAUUCCACACUCUUUGAGAUAAUCUUGGAACUUGGUACUUAGAUACUCCUCCCCUCGAUCUGAUCUUAGGAUCUUUAUCUGUUUCCCAGUUUGCUUCUCAACUUCAUUCUUGAAUUCUUUGACCUUUCAAAGGAUUCUGACUUGUACUUCAUAAGAUACACAUAGCUAAACCGAGAGUGAUCGUCGGUGAAUGUGAUAUAGUAGGAGAAGCCUCCUCUCGACGUAGUAGACAUAGGUCCACAUACGUCAGUGUGGAUUAACCCUAGAAUUUCAGUGGCAUGCUCUCCUUUCCCAGUGAAUGGAGAUUUGGUCAUCUUCCCUUCUAAGCAACAUUCACAAGUACCCAUUUGGUCAUUACCCAAUGGGCGGAAAUAUCUGUCUUUCAACAUCUUGCGAAUCUUAUCAAGGUUCACAUGUCCAAGUUUAAGAUGCCAUAUCUUUUCUUGGUUAACUUCUUCUCUAGCCCUUUUGGGUUUUGAGGUAUUCCCGCUUUCAAUACAGUGCAUCCCACUACUUGUCUCUAGGUGAAAAAAUCCCUCUAUCAUAUUACCAUGAGAGAUAAUACGACCGUUCAAGUAUAAAGUGCAACUCAUUUUGUCAAACAAUAUUGAGUGCUCAUCUCGUAAAAGCUUAGAGAUAGAAAUCAAAUUCUUUAUACAUGAAGGAAAAUAUAAACAAUUUUUAAGUUCCAAGACUUCCCCAGAGCGCAGUUUAAGCAUGUAGGUGCCUAUUGCUUUAGCAGAGAUCUUAGUGCCGUUCCCAACUCGCACAAUCAUCUCCCCAUUGCGCAAUGUUCUGCUCCCUGUUAGUCCCUGCAACGAAUUCCAGAUAUGUUGACUAGCGCCUAAAUCAAAUAUCCAGGAAUGAGAGCUCAUUGUAAACGCACUCUCUAUGACAAAAAUAGUCCCUGUAACGAAUUGCAGAUAUGUUGACUAGCGCCUAAAUCAAAUAUCCAGGAAUUGGAGCUCAUUGUAAACGCACUCUCUAUGACAAAAAUAGUCCCUUCAAAAGUUCCUGUCAUAAGGCUCGCAAUGCUCACCCUGUAUUUCUUCUUCCAACGUUCAUCCUUUCCACAAUGAAAGCAUGUUCCUUUGGAUUUUAUUGCCUUCUUCUUAUGUAACCUUUUCCUUGUGAUUGCAGUCUCACUCCCACUAUCCUUUUUGAAACCUUGUUCAAACUUACAGCACAUGUCAAUCAUCUCGAUAAAAGUAUGAUUGAAUCUAUUCACUGUAUAGUUUACAAUAAACUUAGUGAAAUCAUCCGAGAGAGAUGCAAGGAAAAAGUCUUGGGCCAUUUUCCCAUCGAUGGAAGUUCCUAAACUUUCAAGAUCUUGAAAGAUCCUUUCCAUCUUUUGUCCAUGUUUUUGGACCGAUGCCCCCUUUGCCAUUUUGGCAUUCAAUAGAUUACAAACAUUUGAGAAUCAUACGUUACUAGUCUCAAUGUCAUGCAUCUUAUGCAAAUUAUCAACCAUGCCAGAAGAAGUGUCCAUGUGCUCAUGUAGCUUCUUAAGCUCCUCACUAAGUGAAGUGAGGAUUAAGCAUUUGUCUUGUAAGUCAUCCUCAUAGUGUCUUGCAUAAUUUUGACACUCCUCCUUUGAAGCUAGUUUCGUAGGAGGUACAUGAGGAGGGGAUUGCUUAAGCACAUACAAUAUGUCUUUCACCUUUGAGACAUUCUCAAUGUGGCGAUACCAAGCAAGGAAACGUUGGCCCCUAAGGCCCCUUUUGUCAAUUAUAAUGGGUGUAAUUUUAGACAUGUCGUUAACUACAUAACAUAACAGAAAUCGUAUUAGAUUGUUGAUUUUAAAACUACUUGAUUGGGUCUUAAAUCAAAUAGUACCACCCACUAUUUUUGGCAAAUUCCACAUCCCUCAAUAGAAUUCGAGAGUUAUGUUGAACUCUUAGCGGGGUAUGGGAGGCUCAUCAUGACCAAGCCCACCUCACGAUGAUACGAUGUUGGUUAGCAAAAAUAAUGAUGAGAGAAUAACACUUUAAUCAUUUACAACUCUUGUAAUUACCCAUCUAAUUUGGCCUCUAGAGAAUGAUGCCUCACAGUGAUAUGAUGUUGGCACCAUUGCCCUUAGUUAAGUUAUUCCCACCAUGCUAGUUCGUGUAAGGGUUCAAGAAUAGCCUCACAAUGAUAUGAUGUCGGCCAUCCUCGUUGCCUACCUCACCACAUCAUGUAUGUAUAUAUGGACUCCUCCUGAAUGUAAGCACAUACUUUGAACUUCCCCAUGAUAGGGUGAAGCCGGUGUAGGAGUCACAAACGAUUGGAGCCCACCAUGGUGGAAGGCCUACGAAGAGAUGUUCAAAGCAUCUCUCGCUUAUCAACUUAAUAUUCGUUUGUUGAGGGAGUAGUGUUGGGCUACAUCAAUUUUAUUUUAAUCUUAUUAAAAGAACUUGGGCCUAUCACAACCAUUGGUCCAAGUUAAUAUGAAUUAGUAGUAUAUAAUACUCCCACUAUUUCGAUGAAACAAGCGAGACUAUAUGGAACUACUAACGAAUGCAUUGCAUCCUCAUAUGGACUAUAUAGUUAUAUUAGGUCUUAGGAUGAUUAUGAACCGUUUGAUUUGAUCCAACACGAGCCUUGUGUUGGACCUUGGGUUUAAGGUAGAUAGUUGUUGAUUUUAGUUACGCGUUUAAUCUAAUUAAACCGUUAUUUCCUAUUGGGCAUUGGACCUAACUAUUCCAAUUUGCAUACAUAUAAACAAAAAGGAAUACAUGAAAUAAAGAGAAGGGCUUAUGCCCUUUUACAACAAAUUAGAAGGACUUAUGUCCUUUUACAACAAAUUUGAACUAAUCAAAUUACAUUCAAAUCUAAACUACUUAACCCAAACAUUCACAAUGUAAAGCGGUCAAUCACAUAACUCAAUUAUCGAGGCCUUCGGUUCAUAAUCACCAUUUUCUUAAUCAAUCAAAUUAACUAAGAAAGCAACUUAAACAAUUGGUUUUAGGAUUCAGAGAAUUGAUUUAAAUGGAACUAAAUGAAAUGAAAAUCCAAUUCUCUUUCAAGAGACAACCAUUUUGUUCCCAUCAUCUUUUGGGCCGAAAAACAAUGACCACAACAAUUGGGCCGUAAGGUUAAAACAUAAACUUUUGGGGUCACUUUGUAAAAACACAAGAGUCCACAACUUCAUGUAAUUACAACUAGACCCAAAAAUUUCAACAAUAUUAAAAACUUCAUUAAAGGAGCAAAACAAUUUGUCCUUUAGCAUUUUUGGGUCUUAACGUAAAAACCUAAACUUUUGGGUCAAAGUGCAAAUACACAAAAGUAUCAAAACUUUAUGUAAUUGCAUGAAAGCCCCAAAAGUACUCCCACUAAGGGGUGGCCAGUUUUGGUAGUGAAAAAGGAGGGGGGGGAAAGUUUUUUGGUGAAAAAUUCAAAAUUUGAAAGUGUUUGGUGCAAGUGGAUAGGUAGGUGAGGAAAAUGUUGAUUGGGAUGGGUUGUAAGAAAAUGUUUUGUCAAACAAUAAAGACAUAAAUCAUCCAUCACCAAUCAUCCAUCACCAAUCAUCCAUCACCAAUUAAUUAUAAACCAAAACUUUAUGAAAAACACCAAACAUUUUGAAUGAAAACUCCAAACCGUUUUGUUCUUGGUAAGAACAUCAAGAAUAUUGAAGAACACACAUGAAAACUCAUAAGAGCUCCAUGAAUGUUUUCACAGAAUAAAACUCAAAUUUUCACUACACAAAAGAGGGUUAACAUCCUAGGGUACUUAGGGGUUCCAAAAGUCACUUUAAAACUCUUUUAACAAGACAAACAUGAACCCAAAAAUCCACCCUUUGGAUUUGGCUGAAUUUCCCAACAUACAUGGCACCAAAUUUUAGUUCCAAUAUUCAUGCUUAAAUGAACUACAUCUACAACAUUUGAGAUGCUAAAUUUUCAAGCAAAAUUUAUAUUCAAAAGCAAGAACAAAGCUUGUAACAUUUACAACAUUUAAAUCACAAACCAUGAAAAACACAAAACCCAUAAGGAUUCACCAUAAACUAGACCUAGGCUCUUGAUACCACUUGAAGGAAAAAAUUUGUCCUACCUAAGAACAUGUGAGAAUAUUUGAACAUAUAUGCAAACUAUUAACACAUUAAAGUAGGCAUGCAUUAAAAAACAAUUCUAAAACCCAUGACU